CCCGGGCCCGCUGUACACUUCUAGGGGCCCCAGAGCAAAGUCCUCACUAGGUCCCCCUCACCACCUACUGACGGGACCUGAACUGCAGUAAUGAACUCCUGAAAAAACCUUUUCCCCAUUGACUUUAAUGGCAGCUCAGGUUCAGUCACGACCAUUAUUGUGGGAUCCGAAAGACCCCAACCAUUUUAACCGGAUGUGCAUUUACAAUGCUUGGAAGUCGAUGGCAGAGGCCAUGUAUGAUAAUUUCAACAAAAUGUCAGAGCACUUACAAGAAGACAUAUUAAAAGAAUUGAGAACCCAUUGGAAAUCCACAAGGGAUUACUUUAUAAAAUCCUAUAAUAAAAACCAAGAGGCAAUUGGAGCAUCGCCUUCAAAAAGGCCAAAAAUACCAUAUGAGGACCAGCUGCGCUCCCUCGUGCCAACCAGAUAACUU